AUGAUUGAUUAAAUAGCCGCAGUAUCUUGACUGUGCAAAGGUAGCAUAAUAAAUUGUCUUUUAAUUGGGGACUGGAAUGAAUGAUAGGAUGUGAUAAAUACUGUCUUUAUAGUAAUUGAUUGAAAUUUACUUUUUGAUGAAAAGGUUAAAAUUUAGAUGGUAGACGAGAAGACCCUAUCAAGCUUGAUUUUGAUUAGGAAUUUUACUUUAAUUGGAUUGGUAAUAGGAUUUUAGUUAGAAUUUUGUUGGGGCAAUGUUUGAAUAUAUUAUAAUUUUUUAUUUUUUGUUAUAGGUUGAUCCAUUUUUAGUGAUUAAUAGAGUAAGUUACUGUAGGGAUAACAGCGUAAUUAAUUUGGAGAGUUCAUAUUGGUAAAUUGGAUUGCGACCUCGAUGUUGGUUUAAUGAUUCUUUAGGGUGUAGCAGUUUUAUGAGAA
rnacentral:rRNA from 1 species